CAGCAAGUGGAAUAGUGGUUAGAGCUGCUGUCUUGCAUGCAGUGGGUUAGGGUUUGAAUCCCACCUCUUGCUCU
rnacentral:tRNA from 1 species